rnacentral:lncRNA from 1 species
GCAGGCAUCGGGCCAAUCUCAGAGGGCGCGCACGCCGCAUCAGGACCCCGGAACCCGCCCCGUUGGGGAUAGGGACAGAUGGAGAAUCCAGCUCAGACCCAGAUUUCUGUUCAGCAAAGACCAGAGCUCACUCUAUCCCAAACACAGGACUGUGUGUCAGUGAACAAGUAAAACAAGUCUAAAAAAGAAACCAUGGGCUAGGCGCGGUGGCUCACACCUGUAA